AUUGAUCCAAACCUAAACAAACAUAUUCAACUAGGCCAUCAAUCUAUAUUACCGCUUACAUAAUUUACUACGACCCAUCCAACAAUCAUCCGAAAACAAUACUGCAUUGACAGUAUGCAUCACUUUGCUAUCGACAAAGGGCACCAACAGU